UGCCGCUUGCGAGGGCGUAUGGUGGAUGCCUUGGCAGACAGUACCGAUGAAGGACGUUUGAGGAUGCGAUAAUCCUAGGGGAGCCUCCAACAUGGCUUUGAUCCUAGGGUCUCCGAAUGGGGGAACCCGCCGGCCGUCAUGGGCCGGCACCGCCUAUGGGCGGGGGGUACGCAGGGAAGUGAAACAUCUCAGUACCUGCAGGAAGGGAUACUCCGUGAGUAGUGGCGAGCGAAAGCGGAUCAGACCAAACCGGUUGCGCGUGAUACCCGUCGGGGGUUGCGUUGCCGGUGUUGUGGGAUCACGUGUCCCGGUUCCGACGGGCCGGGCGGGAGUCAUAAAACGGCUUGCCAGGGGAACAGGCUUGAAGGCCUGGCCGUAGAGGGUGCCAGCCCCGUACCUGGACGUGAGCCGUCUUCCGAUCGUGUUGUCCCAAGUAGCGCGGGCCUCGUGGAAUCCCGCGUGAAUCAGCCCAGACCGUUGGGUAAGUCUAAGCAUACCUGUCUGACCGAUAGCGUACCAGUACGCGGGCCUCGUGGAAUCCCGUGUGAAUCCGCCCCGACCGUGGGGUAAGUCUAAGCAUACCUGUCUGACCGAUAGCGUACCAGUACCGUGAGGGAAAGGUGAAAAGCACCCCGGGAGGGGAGUGAAAGAGUUCCUGAAACCGUGCGCCUACAAUCCGUCGGAGCCUUCUUUGUGGGGUGACGGCGUGCCUAUCGAAAAAUGAGUCUGCGAGUCAGUGGUGCGUGGCGAGGCUAACCCGUCGUGGGGGAGCCGUAGCGAAGGCGAGUCUCAAAAGGCGUUUUGAGUCGCGUGCCCUGGACCCGAAGCGGGAUGAUCUAGCCCUGGGCAGGUUGAAGCGCGGGUAAGACCGCGUGGAGGACCGAACCCACCUGGGUUGAAAACCGGGGGGAUGACCUGGGGCUAGGGGUGAAAGGCCAAUCAAAUUCCGUGAUAGCUGGUUCUCUCCGAAAUGCAUUUAGGUGCAGCGUCGGUUGAUUGCGUCGCGGGGGUAGAGCUACCGGAUGCUUGCGGGCCCUUGUUGGGUACCAACAGCAGCCGAACUCCGAAUACCGUUGACGUGUAUUCCGGCAGUGAGUCGGCGGGGGAUAAGCUCCGUCGUCGAGAGGGAGACAGCCCAGACCGUCGUCUAAGGUCCCGAAGCGUGUGCUAAGUGGGAAAGGAUGUGGAGUCGCAUAGACAGCCAGGAGGUUGGCUCAGAAGCAGCCAUCCUUGAAAGAGUGCGUAACAGCUCACUGGUCUAGUGGUUCCGCGCCGACAAUGUAGCGGGGCUCAAGCACACCACCGAAGACGCGGCAACAGUUUUUGCUGUUGGGUAGGAGAGCGUCCCGCGUGGGGCGAAGCGGCCGUGGAAACGUGCCGUGGACCGCGCGGGAGCGAGAAUGCAGACAUGAGUAGCGAGAGACGGGUGAGGAUCCCGUCCGCUGGAUGACCAAGGGUUCCGGGGCCACGUUCGUCGUCCCCGGGUGAGUCGGGUCCUAAGGCGAGGCCGACAGGCGUAGUCGAAUGGAUGAACGGGUGGAUAUUCCCGUACCGACCAUGGACCGGCAAAACCGAGACGGUGAGUACUAACCUCCGCCUCGUGGUGGUUCCUUCCUUCGGGUUGGUUCCGUCGCGUGGUGUUGGGAGCGUAGCCGCAGUAGGUCAGCGCAGGGGUGACACGGAAUGGGAGCCGGCCGCGGAGGUGGUUUUCCGUGGUCAAGCACGCAGCCAGUCAUGUAGGCAAAUCCGCAUGGCGUGCAUGGCGAGGUGUGAUGAUGGGAGCCGUUAUGGUUCGAUAUCCGGUUGUCCAGGCCGUCGAGAAAAGCCUCGGCGUGAGGGCCAUGGCCGCCCGUACCCCAAACCGACACUGGUGGUCAGGUAGAGAAUACCAAGGCGAUCGAGCGAAUCCUGGUCAAGGAACUCGGCAAAUCACUCCCGUGCCUUCGGUAUAAGGGAGACCCCCGGACGUGAAGAGGCUUGCCCUCGGAGCGUCGGGGGGUGGCACAGACCAGGGGGUAGCGACUGUUUACCAAAAACACAGGUGCAUGCGAAGGCGAAAGCCGCUGUAUAUGCACUGACGCCUGCCCGGUGCCGGAAGGUUAAGAGGAUCCGUCAGCCCUCGGGUGAAGCGGUGAAUUCAAGCCCCGGUAAACGGCGGUGGUAACUAUAACCAUCCUAAGGUAGCGAAAUUCCUUGUCGGGUAAGUUCCGACCUGCACGAAUGGCGUAACGACUUCCCCACUGUCUCGACCAGGAGCUCGGCGAAAUUGCAGUACGAGUAAAGAUGCUCGUUAAGCGCAGAAGGACGAAAAGACCCCGGGACCUUUACUAUACCUUGGUAUUGGCGUUAGGCGCGGAUUGUGUAGCAUAGGCGGGAGGCUUUGAAACGGUGGCGCCAGCCAUCGUGGAGCCGCAAGGUGAAAUACCGCUCUGUUCUCGUUUGACGUCUAACCUCGACAAGUCAUCCUUGUCAGGGACAGUGCCUGGCGGGUAGUUCAACUGGGGCGGUUGCCUCCCAAAGAGUAACGGAGGCGCUCAAAGGUCCGCUCAGCCCGGUUGGCAAUCGGGUUUCGAGUGUAAUCGCACAAGCGGGCUUGACUGCGAGAGCGACGGUUCGAGCAGGGACGAAAGUCGGAGAUAGUGAUCCGGUGCCGGCGCACGGGCGCGGCAUCGCUCAACGGAUAAAAGGUACCCCGGGGAUAACAGGCUGAUCAUUCCCAAGAGUCCAUAUCGACGGGAUGGUUUGGCACCUCGAUGUCGGCUCGUCGCAUCCUGGGGCUGGAGCAGGUCCCAAGGGUU
rnacentral:rRNA from 1 species